rnacentral:lncRNA from 1 species
ACAAACAAAGUCCAAGUCUGAUAUCUCUAUAUAUAAUUCUUGAAAGUAAUAAGAAAAAUAAAAAAAAUAACUUAAAACUGCAAAAUGACCAAAAAAGAAACAAAAUUUCUAGCUCGACCAUGAGACAUAAUAGCGUAUUCAGUUUUGGUUUUGGUUUGUCUCAUCGCAAGUUUUGAAACAGUUUAUUAUAUGCCCAAAAUAAAUACUUGUAACUCAAGUUAUGACCUUUAAAAGAUACCUUAUUUAUCUUGCACAACUAUCUUACAUCAGUAACUCUUUAUACAUUUAAAAAAUUCUAUCAAAAUUAAGAGAGAAAAUGAUGAAAUAAGUAGAUUUUUAAACCUUAUUUUUGAUAAAAAUGAUUAUGAAAUAAUAAGAUACUUUUGAUAUUUCAACGAUAAUCACGCAUUGAAUUAGCAUAAGAAGAAUCCGAUAAAUCAUACGUUAGAUAGGUACAGUAAAAUUUAGAAAUUAUUAUUUAUGUUCUCAUUCAAGUUAUUAUUAUGAUGAUGAUAAUGAUGAUGUUCUUUCUAAUAGCAUGUGCUUAUUACAAUCAUCAACUUGAUAAAUUAAAGUAUGAAACAAAUAAAUCACAAUCAUGCUUGUUCAAAGUUAUGAAUGAUAUAACUAUUUGAAAUGAGACAAUUUCUAAAAUAAGUGAAUUUCAAGUGAGACGGCUGCGGGGUGGGGUCGUUCUUGCCUGCGGGUGAAGCUUCUACAACUUGGUGUUUGUUGGACUUUAUCACUCAAAAUUUCACCAUUACGAGCAUCCCCACUUAGCUUUCACAAUUUUAAUCCAUAUAUUUUGUAUAAGAUUUAAAUAUCGAAAAGAAAGUUCUUUCAAUGCCCCCAACUUGAGAUAACCGUAAAAUCAAGAUUUAAGGCAUCCUAAAUACGCUUCACAAGUUGCUUUGGAUUAGGAUAUGUGAAGCUGCUUUGGAUUAGGAUAUAACACCCAUUACCGUUUAUUCGGAAUUGGACACGUUGUUUUUUCAUUCUGUUAUUAAGGUUUGGAUAAGGAUAAGAAACUUUACCUUUUACGCAUCUACUGCCAUGAAAUGACAUAGCUAGUAAUAAAUUGUAGGGAUAGACGAGAUACAUAAUUAAGGUUAUGUUUAGAAUUGAGGUGUCGUAAUUUUUAAGUUAUAGCUGAUGUGGAAAAAAAUUGUAACUAUUAAAUAAAAAUUAAUAAUAUAUAGUAAAUAUAAAUUUUAAAUAAUAAUUUUGAUAAAAUUAUUAAAGAUAUAAUAGAUUUUUUAUUAUACAAGUGAAAAAUCAUAUUAACAUACCUUGCAAAGUACAACAGUUAGUGUUUACCAAACACUUUAGUCCUUGUCCAACUUCAAUCUCAAAUACACCUUAACUGACUUUAUUUUUCAUCAUUAACGUGACACUGAGGACAGGUCAUAUGUGAUAAACUACGUAUGUAUCUUAGCUGUGUAGCGCAACAUCACUCUUAAAGUCGAGAAGAAAAGCUACUAAAUUUCUCCGAAGCUACUCGUAAUCUUAAAUGUUGCAUUUCAACAUUUUAUUUAUUCAUUUGGGAUGAACAUGUGUGAGUAGAUGUUUAAUGGCCAACCAACAAAAGUUAUAUGUUAGCAAUUUAAAUGGGUUUCUCAGAGGUAUGGAAGCCCGGCCCAGUAAAAGUUUAUACACUUUGAUCACAUCUUUAAAAGCCUAUAAAAAUGUCGCGAGAUUUCUUUGAAGCCAAGAGUUCAAGGAGCAAGACCGACACUAAAGGUAGCAAAAGUGCAGACCCUUUUCUACACCAAAUAACAUGUUUACGUCGGUUGUGGUUGCAAGCGUUUGUUUCAUUUUCAAUUUACGAUUAAUAAGAACUUUAAUCAUGUGUCCUUAAUAUUAGUCAAGAUAUAAUUAUUUCCCUUAAUUAAUCUAUGAAUAUGUGAGUUUGUGUCUGUGGAUAUUUGUGUCUCGAGUGUUUUGUUGGAGGAUUUAACAUAAGAUUUCUAAAUAUCCAACCCAAAAUACUAACAUUUUAAGUGGAGUGACAUACCUCCUUAUAAACUCAAGUAUCUCAUAUUUACUAGCUAAUGUGGAACACAGCUCAAUAUGUUUAUUUCUUUUUUCGUUUCUAUAAUAUUUUUGUAAACUUUCAGUGUUGUUAUCUAAAAUAUUUUCUACGAGCCUCGCUUCUUUUCAGCACUUCCAAAAAUUUUAUAUGAAAACCAUAUAUUAUUUGACAAACACGGUUUUGGUUUAUUUGUUCUACAUUUAGUAUAUAAUUAGCAAUUAAACGUACCUUGAUGGACUUAGAUAUGAAAGUUAAUUGUCACCUUUAUAACAUUUACAUUACUAAUUCUUCAUACACCUUCAUUAAUCGAACUUCAUCUGAUCGCCCAAUUCAUACUACGUAAUAUCUUCCUCAAAUUCUAUUUCAAUCUACUACACUGUACAUAUUUUAUUGGCCAUAAAUUGCAUAGCAAAUAUCAUGAGUCAGGAUCCAGUCCAUCGGCGGAAAAAAAGGAAAUGAGUUGCUGCUUAUUUGAUUGCAAUUGGGGUCCCCUUAAAUAACUUGAUAGAACGAAUUUUUGUAGUUUGGAUCAUUCAUACGGUAGAAAUCUCAAUAAUUAAAUCUUAAAUUGAGUUCAACUAUUAUGUGUUAUUCAUUUAUUGGCUAAUAAAUUUCAAAACUAAUAAAUUAAUAUUCUACCAUCAAACAUAUUAGCGGACAUCACUCGAUAAUCUUAGGAUCUUAACAUAACUCUUCAUCCUAUCUGUUUUAUCACCUAGCCUAACAAAACAAGGCCACAUGGUAAAUUAAAAAUACCUGCAAUAGUCAGCAAUAGAUAAUAUGCUAAAUUUCAAACAUUCUACAAAAUUAAAGAGAGAAAAACAUUUAUUAUUUAAAAAAUAUUAAUUGAAGUGCAUUUUAAAAUCUUAAAUACUAAUGUAAUUUUUUAAAUAAAUAAAUUGUAAAAUCUUAUUUAAAAAGGGCUCCGGUUUCCAUAUCAUAGCAAGAACCCACUUCUCAGACAUCGCCAACUCGUACGUCUGAUCCGUCGAUUCCAUGAGUUGAUGAUGAUGAAUAGAUGAUGGAUUUUCUGAAGUUGAAUUUGAAUCACACCGUACAGGUCACAGCUAUAUAUUAUUAAAUAUUAACUGCUAGCUCAGCUGCUAUCAUAACCAUAUAUUGAUUGAAAUAAUUGAAUGGCAUUAAUAAUGAUGAAAUUUGCUCACUUAAUUACUUGCCCCCAGUUGUGACCAUGGUGAAUUUAAUUUGCUACUGCAUCAGUACAAAUUACAAUUGUUACAGUUAGCUACUUCCAAUUUUGCAUUUAUUCGGUUUUCUGAUUGAACAAGAAGAAUUUUAUGUCUUUAUACAUACAAUUGGACACACACACAAACACGCGUAUAAUUGAUUGUCACCCUAACAUAACUUAAAAGCCAAAUAAAAUUCAUCCAUUAGUCCACCUAAAUUAUUGUUUUGUUACUCAUUUGUAUACUAAAAAACUUAGUUAUAAGUUUUGGUAGGGUAAAAACUCGUUUAAUUCUUAUAUUUUGAGGUUAUGCUUAUUUAGUUCUUAUAUUUUUAAAAGUACCUCAAAACAUC